UUGGUGCAUUCUGUUUGUUAGUUCAGCGACAUCUCCAACCCCGUCCUUACAUGCAGCAGAGGGAUAGAUUUCACUGCUGGCCAGCCUGCUGAGGCUAUCUGGAUUCAGUUGCCAGAAGUUACUUUGACUCUUUCAACCCUGAGAUGGAUUCCAGAUCUGCAGAGGCAAUAAGUACUUGUUUGGUUGGUUUGAUGCACAAGGGAUCCUGAGUUUCUCUGUGUGGCCCUGGCUGCCCUGGAACUUGCUCUCUGGAUCAGGCUGGCCUCAAACUCCAGUUCUGCAUAAAGGCAUGCACCACCACCACCAGGCAAGGACUUACUUUCUUAGACACUUUGUUGAUGUCUGAAUGUUAGUUACACAUCCAUUGGCGAAGCAUUUAAGUUAAGAAGCAUUUCCGACCUGCAAAGGGAAGGCGGAAACAACGCACCCUGCAGACACUGCCCACCAGCUCAUCACUUAACUUUCCAAUCUCUGCUCACCGCCUUGCAAUAAAAAUCUUGCACCCUGGUUUCAGAAUGGAAUUUCCCCUUGGGUCAUGCUCCAUGGUUCUAAAGAACUCUGCCUCUGAGUGGACAAUCUGAGGGGCUGGUCAACUUGCCGUGGAGGCGCCCACCUGGUUGAGAUGAGGAGAACCUCCUAGGAUCCCCUCAGAGCCUCUGUCCUGUUAUAUUAUCUCCUAAAGGAAAGGCUCAACCCCGCCUCUGGCUGUUAGCCACAGGCCUGCACAGUGGUCUAUGGGACUUUUGGAGAGGAUGAACAACUGUGGUAUGGACAUCCUUCUGUGUUUGGACUCACUGCCUGCGGUAACCAUCCACAUUUGCCACUGAAUGGGAUUCCUCAAAUUCAAGAGAGUGGGGACACUUUAAAGUCACUGUACCAGUUGUCUCCUCACUGUGUAAACUCUCCCUCUGCUGAGAGGCCUUCUCUUGCUUCAGCAGACUUCCUUAGUUAUGGCUGUGGUGCACCUUGAUGAUACUUGACAUGGUGGUUUUGUACUAUAGGUUCUCCUUGAAGUGCAUCAGACUUUUACUCGAAAGCAGAGGGUUUUUUUUUUUUUUUCGGUUUUGUUUUGAUUUUGACUAGCAUUUUCAAAAUAGUCACUGUGAUAGCUUCUGCAGCUGCUUCUGUUAAUCCCACUGGGUAAGAAUAAUAAGAGGCCACUACCACAACUUUUGAGCCAGAUCUGAAGCAAGUUUUAUUAAAUACUGGUCAGGACGAUGGACAUGGGCCAGGUCCAUACCCAAGUCUGCCAGAGUAAAUGGCACUGAAUUACAUUAGUUACAGGCUUACAAAGGCAAGGCUACACGCCUCCCGCCUUCAUCCAGUCAGGGACAAGCAUACAUCCUGACAUGCUUUCUGCCUAGGUACCUCCCACCUACAUGUGACCAAGCCCAUCCUGUGCAGUUGGGGCAACCAAGCUUGUUUACAGAAGUGAAAACACUCAGCUUGUUCUCUUACGUGAACAGCAGCCCUCAGCACUCUAGGAAGUUAUCUGUCCUUGGGAAAGUGGGGCUUACAGGUUAGAGGCGUUUCUGUUUAUAGAUUUCUUAAGCACAGUAAUUUAAACUCAAAAUAUAACGUUAUUUCUCAACAUGUCUACAGUGGUUCUAUCUAAUAAGUGCAAACUGCCCAUUUUGCUAAUCAGCUUCUUUGGCAACAUAAGAAUGUACAGGUAAAAACUAGAAGCUAAGUUAAAUGCUUAGGAAGUGUGGUGCUGCAUUUAGGAGAUACGGUACAAACUAUACAGCAACAGUUAACUUUAAAGUGCCAUGCCAGCUUCAGAUACUCCAUUAAGCUAUAACGAAUCUAAAUCACACCUUUAAUCCCAGGACUCAGGAGGCAGAGGCAGAAGGAUCUCUGUGAGUCUGAAGCCAUAGUGAUCUCUAGGACAGACAUUUGCAUCUUGAAGAGACUGGAGUCAUCAGUCCCAAGGCCACUGUGUACUUGGUCUGUAGCAUACUGGAGAUAUCCUGUGAUCCCUUUGUACAACUGGUGAGCUUCCUGCUGACUUCAUCCAGUUUUAUGAUAGCCUUACGUCUAUCCCAUCCUCCCCUGUAAACUGUAAAUAAGACAUCGUACUUCUUAUAAACUUGAUCAGCACAAGCUGUCAGCCUAGGCAAGACCUUCUAAUUCCAACUUUCAUAUCUUUCUAUUUUCUCACCCCUGGUCCUCUCCCUCAGGACCCUGGCACUGAAAGAAUGUCCUGCUGGCCCAGGUCACAUGACAGAAACAUAUUCAGCUACAAGUUUCACAACACAUUGUUCGGUCUUAUUAUCAAGUGUGGCAUUCUAGUUUCAGUUCCACACAGCUUAUUUCCUGAUAGUUUCGUUUCACAACCUACAGUGGAAAAAAUAAUCAGUCUCUUCAGUUUGAAGAGGGCUGGGGCAAGCUCAUAAUAUCUAAGUGGAAAAGGGAACAAGGACUUAAUGUACCUGAGUUUUCGAGGAACCUUGAAAAUAAUGCUAGUGUUAUUGAGGAUGGAUUAGGCUUAAGGAAUUAGGGUUGAUUUAUUUGCACAUAUGUAUAUGUUACCAGAGCUAGAAUCCCGUCACACUAGGCAAGUGUACGCCACUGAACUAUGUUGUAUAGUUUUGAGACAGGGGCUUGUAUGUAGACCUUGGAUAACUAGCCUCAAACUUGGCGUUCUCCUAUCUUAGCCUCACAAGUGCCGUGAUUACAGGAGUGCACCACCCAUCUUGGGCUGAGUUGAUUUUUUUAAAAAAGUUUUAUUGCAUUUAUUGUAUUUGCGUGCUUGCUUGUGCAUGAGUGCCAUGGUAUGCAAAUGGGAGUCAGAGGGCAAUCCGUGGGAACUGGUUCUCUCUUUCCACCAUGUGGGUUCUGUGAAUUGAACUCAGGUCAUCCAGUUUAGAGGCAAGUGCCUUAGCUGGUGGAACCAUCUUGCUGCCUCAGAUUUGUUUGUUGUUUGUUUGCUUGUUUUUUGGUUUGGGGUUUGGUUUCUGUUUGUUUUUGUUUUCUUUUUUCUUUUCUUUCUUUUCUUCUUUUUCUUUUUUUCUUUUGAAGCAGGAUCUCAUGUAUCCCAUGGCCUUGAACUUUCCUGCUUCCACUUCUAUGAUGUUGGAACUACAGCAGGGCAAACCAGAUUGAUUUGAAUAAAUAAUAACUACAGUGAAGACAUUUUCUUGAGACCGUUUCUUACCCAUGAAUCAGAGACAGAGAUCUGCCCCCUUGAUUGUAGUUUGUGCUUCGGGAAGCCUCCAUCUCAGAGCCCAGCCGCUGUGAGCAAAGCUCCAGGUCUGCAGAAAGCUUGUCAAUGAGACUGCAAGAUGAGCCGCAUUUUAAAAGUCUUCCUUGGCCAGCAGGCCUGAGAGCACCUGGAUUCUGAAGGACUUGGAUCCAGAAAACAGGAGCCAGUUGGUACCAGGAGAAAUGUUUCCAGGAUGGAAGAAGAGUAACAGCCAGUCUUGGAACCUCCACUGACCUAAACAGUUUGUGUAGCCAGAAGUAGUCAAAAUUGGACACUGUGAAGUUCCCUUAAGAUACCUGCUGGCUGACUCAGGCAUCCAGCAGGGAGACUGGCAUUUCUAGCCAGUGGCCCACAGUGGGCAGGAAGGGGCAGCUGUGCCCACUUGUGCUGGGAUCUGCCCUGGAGAACCUCAGCCACAGAGCUCAAGAUGGAGUAGGCACUGCAAGUGAACCGGCUGAUCUGCUGUGGUAAAGGGGUACAUAUGGGGCUCUGAGGCAUGGAGAAGAGCUUUGUAACCUGCUUUUUGGAUAACUUUGCAAACUGAGAAAAUUAACCUUGCCUUGGACUAUAAUUUUCCGAUCGUCAAAGGGAGAAAAUGGCGCCUGUGUGAAUCAGCCAGGGCACUUAAAAUGUACUGUAAGACUUGGAAAUGCCAUCUGACAUUCUCCCUUCAGCAAGUGAGAGGCAUUAAAUGGCCUGCCCAAGUUCAACCCAUGGCAGAGUCAGGCGUCUGGUUACGAGUGCUUCCUUUGGCUCUCGGCAAGCAGGUGAGAAGCUGGGAACUGGCUCUGUUCCAUCUAGGAAUUCCACAGGCAGGUGGGUCUGGUCUCCAAGCCUGACUUGAAUGUGUGCACCAGGCCCAGAGGAACUAACAACACAGGAAUGAGUCACCCUGGCUCACUGCAGCAGGAGACCCCUCCUCCUUGCCACUUGGGCCAAGGCCCAGUUGCCUAGCAACGAGACAUAAUAUAUAUAAAUAAAAUGCAUCUUCUUGCUUCAGGGGGAGAGGCCCUGAUGCCUUCUUGAUUCUCCUGCCCGUUUUUCCCCCGACUUGCUUGCCCAGGUUCAUUGAUUCGAUGUUCAAGGCCCUCACUGCAACAACCAGUGGUGGACACCUAAUGGUGGGUGCUGGGUGCUGGGUGCUGGGUGCUGAAGGCACGCAUUUAGAUAAAGUUGCCUCGGGGUGGUGCUGAAGCCGACAGGCUUGGCAGGUACACUGGACUUUACUGCCUGGGUGACUGGGCGAGGGCAGUUUGGCUGGACUUAUGUGCCUGAUCCUGAAUCAGAAGGGCAGGAGUUGCCUCAGGCUUCUUUGGGGAAGUGGUGUCCAUUUCCCAGGCGUGGGUGGGACUUACACUACCAUGGAAGGACCUGACAGCAGGAACAGUCUCAGCUGGACCUGAACUUUUCGCCAUCCGCCUUGUCAUUGGUGAGCCAUUUUAUUUAGAUGGAGAACACCUGGGAGUGCAUCACAGUCAGACAGGGUUUCUCUGUGUAGUCCCAGCUGUCCUGGAACUUGCUCUGUAGACCGGGCCGGCUUCAAACUCAGAGAUUCACCUGCUUUUACCUCUGGAGUGCUGGGACUAAAGGCAUGUACCACCACCUCCAGGCUUAUUUUUCUGCUCUUGACUGACAAUGAUGUGACUGGCUAUUAUAAACUGGAAUUGUGAGCUGAAAUAAACCCCCUUAUCCUCUAA